GAUAGAGGGUGCAAACGUUGUUCGGAAUUACUGGGCGUAAAGCGCGUGUAGGCGGCUAUGUAAGUCGGGCGUGAAGUCCCACGGCUCAACCGUGGAAGUGCACCCGAAACUGCGUAGCUAGAGUCCUGGAGAGGAAGGUGGAAUGCUUGGUGUAGAGGUGAAAUUCGUAGAUAUCAAGCAGAACACCUGCGGCGAAGGCGGCCUUCUGGACGAUGACUGACGCUGAGACGCGAAAGCGUGGGGAGCAAACAGG
rnacentral:rRNA from 1 species